AAAAUUUGUGUUAUGUUCCGAAAAAUAUAGGUUGUCCGGAAAAUUUUUUUGACCCCUAAAAUGGUACACAGACCGAAAUUUUUUUGGCGACGGGGGGGGGGGAAGUCGCCAAAAUAAUUUUUCCGGAAAAAAUUUUUUGGUACUUUUUGGCAGGGCAUCACUGGUUUUGGCAGGGCAAUUCUGCCAGACACCCCCCUAAUUAAAAGGGGCUAGUUUCGCCCCUGGACA